UACGUAGGGACCAAGCGUUGUUCGGAUUUACUGGGCGUAAAGGGCGCGUAGGCGGCAUGACAAGUCACUUGUGAAAUCUCCGGGCUUAACUCGGAACGGUCAAGUGAUACUGUCGCGCUAGGGUGCGGAAGGGGCAAUCAGAAUUCUUGGUGUAGCGGUGAAAUGCGUAGAUAUCAAGAGGAAUACCUGAGGUGAAGACGGGUUGCUAGGCCGACACUGACGCUGAAGCGCGAAAGCCAGGGGAGCAAACGGG
rnacentral:rRNA from 1 species